AUUGAACGCUGGCGGCAGGCUUAACACAUGCAAGUCGAGCGGGGUGAUGGUGCUUGCACUAUCACUUAGCGGCGGACGGGUGAGUAAUGCUUAGGAAUCUGCCUAUUAGUGGGGGACAACAUCUCGAAAGGGAUGCUAAUACCGCAUACGUCCUACGGGAGAAAGCAGGGGAUCACUUGUGACCUUGCGCUAAUAGAUGAGCCUAAGUCGGAUUAGCUAGUUGGUGGGGUAAAGGCCUACCAAGGCGACGAUCUGUAGCGGGUCUGAGAGGAUGAUCCGCCACACUGGGACUGCGACACGGCCCAGACUCCUACGGGAGGCAGCAGUGGGGAAUAUUGGACAAUGGGGGGAACCCUGAUCUAGCCAUGCCGCGUGUGUGAAGAAGGCCUUAUGGUUGUAAAGCACUUUAAGCGAGGAGGAGGCUCUUUUGGUUAAUACCCAGGAUGAGUGGACGUUACUCGCAGAAUAAGCACCGGCUAACUCUGUGCCAGCCGCCGCCGUAACAC
rnacentral:rRNA from 1 species